UAGGAGAUAAAUACGACCUCUUGCCAGAGUAACAUCCUUUUUCCUGGCGAUGUUCAAUGGAGUAAUAGCAUUAAUGUGUAACGUUAGUCGUAGAAUUAGUGGCUUUGAAUGCCUUCUGUUAAUACCUAGACAUGGUAUUUAAUAGUUUGUGAUCUUCAGUCUUUGUAAGCUUUUAUCUUACUUUGUAAACCUACUGCUCUGCUUUUUUCGCGGUUUGUAAGAAACAAAAGGAAGCAAUAGGAGUUCAACCCCCCCAGUCAUACCGAUGUGCUGGUCUUAUUGGAUGGAUUGUACUCUGAAGCCCCGUUGGUUAACAUGAGGUGAGUUCAAACAUUGCGUGCCUCACGCGAGCAACUGUCCCCCGUGAUAAAAAUGCACGGAAGUCCUGCUAAAAACUACUCUGGUGAGAAAUAAGCGGGUAGUCUAAACGUGCUAAUGUUAAUGUCCUGUCGGAACGUGGAGGUCUGGAAACGCUGAAGUUUCUGCGUUUGAGGAAUAAAGUAGCGUUUUGGUUUCCAUCAGAACGUUUUGUAAUACAAUGUUUGUUUGUUUGUUUGUUUUUUACAGGCACCGAGUUUAUGGAUGAGGUACCUUGGCAGCUGAAUCCAGGAUAUUCUUCUAUAAGGUAUUCAUGAAUGAACCCUGACGUGUUUUACUGUAGAUGAGGCCAAACUACAGAAAACUAGAGCAAGCUAUAUAAUAGUAUGGUGUACAUCCAUGGAUUUCUUUGACACCCUGAAAGAUGCCAACAAUGCUGUUAGUGAUUGUAUCGAUUUGUAUAUACUGCAAUAAAUUCUCAUUUUAAACUAUUUGGUUCUGUAUGGAUUGUACUAGAAAUUAUUUAUAGUUGGUCAUAAGACUGGGUGUUAAAUACAUGCUUUAAACUUUAAUCUUGAAAGGAAGAAUUAUGAAGAAUGCCAAUGAAGGUUUGAUUCCUGCAUGAAAGUUUGCACUUACCAAAAUGAGUGCACAAUGAUUUUUAAAAAGCGUGAUUGUUUGCUAAUGAUUUAAUUCCAGGGGGUGGGAUAAGUUAAAUAUCACUUAUCUACAUAACUAAUAUAUGGAGUUUGACUAUUUUCUCAUGUGUGUGUAUAUAUGUACAUCACUGAAUAGAUUGUGGACAGCACGUGUUGACGCGCAUGCACUGUUAAAGCAUGCUGUUACGAAACAGAACCUCUAUAAAAUAGUUUUUAGAAAACUUGCAGAAAGCCACUUCUACUUCUUUCUGCCAGCGAAGGUUAAACCAAUGAGAGCGUCGUAUGUUUACCGCGUCAUUGACACAAAGUGGAAUGUAACCACAGCCAUGUUGAUAAAGACGGCAGGUUACUUUCAAACUAAACUAUCAGCAUUAUUGUACUUAAUAGCACUGAUACGUUUAAGCAAUUAAGUAGCAAUUAGUAAUAUCUUACAAAUAUGAAAUGGUAAAAAACUUUUUAUCCUAAGACAACUGUUGUAAUUUAUCGGGCAUCCAUAAUGCAAAAUAAAUUCGUUAUAGGUUUGCAAGAAUAAAUUACAAGAAUAAAUCAAAGAUUUUGCAUACACAAUCACACUAUGUUUGGAUGAAUUCACUCCGAACAGGUUAAUAAUAAUGUGUGGGUAGGUGGUGACGUAACCGGAAGCGCUUUUCCCCUGUAGAAACACGUGGUUGAUCAGGGUAUAAAUACGACCUCUUGUUAGACUAACGUUCUUUUUCCUGGCGAUUUUCAAUGGAGUAGUAACGUAAUUCUAGUUAGUUUGAAUGCCCUUUUGUUAAUGCCUAAACAGGAAGUUAUUUAGUAGUUUGUGAGUUUUAGCCUACGUGUAUUGCAAAUUUAAGCUUUUAGUCUUCUGCUCUCUUUUCAUUUUGUCGGUUUUGCAAAGUAUAAGUGGAAGGCACCGAGUUUACGGAUGAGGUACCUUGGUGGCUGAAACCAGGAUAGUGUUCUAUAAGGUAUUCAUGACUGAACCCUGGCAUGUUUUACUCUAGAUGAGGCAAAUUUUACAGAAAACUAGAGUGGGUUAUUUAAUUGUAUGGUGUAUGCUUUUCUUUGGGCACCCUGAAAGAUGCCAACAAUAUACUGUCAGUGAUUGUAUUUGAAAAUGCUGCAAUAAAUUGUCAUUUUAAAAA